rnacentral:rRNA from 1 species
UACGAAGGGUGCAAGCGUUACUCGGAAUUACUGGGCGUAAAGGGUGCGUAGGCGGUUCGUUAAGUCUGUCGUGAAAUCCCCGGGCUCAACCUGGGAAUGGCGAUGGAUACUGGCGAGCUAGAGUGUGUCAGAGGAUGGUGGAAUUCCCGGUGUAGCGGUGAAAUGCGUAGAGAUCGGGAGGAACAUCAGUGGCGAAGGCGGACAUCUGGGACAACACUGACGCUGAAGCACGAAAGCGUGGGGAGCAAACAGG